GGCGUAGCUCAGAGACCAAGGGCUCUCUUGGUAUGCUCAGGUCCUGGGUUUGGCCCUCAUACUGAAAGGACAAGCGACCUCUCCGACCUUGCACAAUGUUGCUUAGAUUCUUUUUUUUUUUCAAACAAGGUGAUGGAAACUCCAGGAAAAAGAGGCCCCAGACUUGGACAAAUUGACAGAGAGCCUGCCAAAAGAAGUCUCCUAGGCAGCCAAGAUAAUACAACAGAAACAGAUUUCUUAUUGGAUUUUAGCCUUUGUGUUUUGGAGGCCCAGCUGAAAUGAGGAAGGGAAGAAAAAGCAAAGCAAGGUAUGUGGAAUAUCAAGGACCUGUGAUGUAGGUCCUAAGGUAAAGCCUGGGGUGGAGAAGAGUCAAGACGACCCCUCUGAAGUAAUGUCCCACCACUUAUUGCAUCCAAGUCUCUUCCAAGGUCACUCCCCAGCAUCUUAUGCAUUCAGGGCCAGCAUGGUAUAACUUGCAAAACCAGGGAACACUCUGGUGAGCUUUAAAAAAAUAAGUGAGUCUUCCAGAGGGGCUGGAGCGAUGGCUCAGAGCUUAAGAUCCCUGACGGCUCUUCUAGAGGUCCUGAGUUCAAUUCCCAGCAACCACAUGGUGGCUCACAGCCAUCUAUGAGAUCCGGUGCCCUCUUCUGGCUUAUGGGCAGAAUACUGUAUACAUAAUAAAUAAAUAAAUCUUUAAAAGAAUUAAAAACUUAAAAAAACCCUUCCAGAGGGGUCCUGUGAAACCAUUUCAUUCCACAGCAAGGUGAGUACCUGAUGGGCCACAUGGUAAUGCAAGGAACUGCUUAGGCGAGUUGUUUUAUCAGGUCCUAUGUUGGUUAUUUUUAUUUUUUUAUUUUUGGGGUUCAAGACGGUUUCUCUGUGGCUUUGGAAGCUGUCCUGGAACUCACUUUGUAGACAAGGCUGGCCUCAAACUCACAGAGAUCCGCCUGCCUCUGCCUCCCGAUUGCUGGGAUUAAAGGCAUGUGCCACCACUGUCCAGCAUAUUUUUAGAGUUCAGGAAGGUGCUAGAAGGAGUAAAGGGAGAGCUUGACUCAUGAAUGGGAAACAGAAAAGGCUAGAGAGACUGUAUUGCUUUUCUGCUGCUGUGGUAAUACACCUUGACCAAGACAGCUUGUAGAAGGAAGGGUUUAUUUGGGCUUAUGGUUCCCUAGGGAGAAGAGCCCAUGAUGGCAGAGCAUAGUAGGAGCUGGAAGCCAAGAACUCACAUUCUGGAUCACAAACAGGAGGCAGAGAGAGUGAACCUGAAGUGGCAAGGGUCUUUUUAUACUCUCAGAGCCCUCCUCCAAGUCCACAUGCCUCAAACCUCUCCAAACAGCACCACCAACUGGGGAACAAACAUUCGAAGGUCUAAGACUGUGGUGGGAUAUCUCAUUCAGCCACCAUAGAUAACCAAAACAAAUUUCACAGAAUUCACAGUUUCAGUUUUGCUUCAACUUUUCAUGCAAAAAAUCAACCAACCAAACAAAAACAAACAAACAACCCAAAAACUUUUCAUGCAGAAGUCCAUUACCAUGUCUAGAGCUAGUCCCUAACUCAGUAGAAAAUGCAUCUGUCUCACAAGGUCCACAGGAAUGUACCCUGCUCUGGUAGAAGUGGGCAGCCUGAUGCUUAGAAUAGAAAUAAAACAACAUCACACCCUGCCUUUAAAGGGUGCUGUGGCCCAGGUAGGCUACAGGGUCGCUAUGUUGAACCAGCACAAGAAUUUCUAGAACUGGUGUUCCUAUGCAGUUGGAGUUUUUCUGUGCCCCAGAAGUUGCUCCCAAACAACCACAAGAAACUUAAUAUUAAUUAUAAAUGUUCAGCCAAUAGCUCAGGCUUAUUACUAGCUAGCUCUUAUCACUUGAAUCAACCCAUUUCUAUUAAUCUAUGUGCUACCCCAAGGCUCAUGGCUUUUCCUUCUCUUGCAUGCCCUGCUUCCUCUCCAUCUCUCUGAUGACUUCCCUGACUCUGUCCUUCUUCUUCCCAGUGUCAUUAGUCUGGUUCUCCUACCUAACCUUAUCCUGUCCAGCUAUUGGCCAGACAGCUUCUUUACUAAACCAAUCACAGUGACAUAUAUUCAUACAGUGUAAAGGGAUGUUCCACAUCCCUGGGAGAGUGGUCUUAGGAGAAUGACCUCUCCUUCACUUUCGUUGUAGACUUAAGAACGUGCUGGGUUUCUGUUCCUUGUCUCUGUCUGGCCAGUAGGUUCCAAGUUAGAGGCCCCAGAACAGAAUAAAUGGCUAAGUGACAAUCCUGUCUCCCAUCCCAUAUGAACAGUGGAGGAGGCUUUAGAAGCCUGGUUGCUCUGCCCAGUGAUAGUGUCAGCCUGUGCAACAAGGCUGUGAUUGGACACUGAGGGCCACACACAGAAACCCCUCUGAGGGCUAGUAGUCUCCAUCUGUACCAUCAGCUGUGACAUUUUUUGGACUAUCAUCUGAAUAAUCAGGCAUUUACUGUGUGGACACGUUCCCUUUUCCUGAGUCCCACCUAAGCCCCACAGUACACUAACCCCGCAGAGUUAUAUGCCAUAGUGGAGUCUAGCCCCAAGUCAAGUGGCACAUAGUCCAUAUGCUGUGACUGAAGGUGGAGGGCAGAAAGGUCUUGCCCUCAAAGAGAUGCACGCAGUGGGGUUGGGAGAUACCAGGCAUAAUGGGUGACCCCUCCUGCAAGGCAAGGGUCGUCAUCCCUCAGGUCUCUCUCUCUCCACUGCUACCCAUAGGACGCAGCACUGAGAAAGAUGCUCCAGGGGGGUCUGCUCUCCCUGGAUGCUGAGCCCAUCUGAUGCCAUGGCUCCCCUCUUAAUGUCUCAGCACAGCAUACCUUCAAGGUUGCCUGUUAUCUUCAGGAAUACCCCUGACUUUUCCUUGUCAGGAUCAAAGCCAUCCUCUUUCCAUGCCACUCUUGAUGUGGACUCCACCCACCCCAAAACAAGCAGGCCCAACCCUGCUUGUGAUCACGUUGUUUUGGCUGGAAGAGGAGCUUCCAACUUCUUCAUCAGGUAUACAUACCUACAUUUCUUUUUCCAGUCCUCUGGUGGACACAACCCUAGUUCUAGAACUUUCUGUAUUAACAAUCACCCUUACUCCAUUUCAAUAACAUAGUAAUUGAUACCCAUGCCCCAAGGGAGAAGGGAAAGGGAAAAUAAAUGAGAGACAGUGUGCAUACAAGUGUACCAUGGAGUGGUUCAGGGCUGAAGACAGCCGAAUGGAUUCAAAGAACGAAGGUGUACUAGUUCUGUCAGCUUGACAAAAUGGAGAAUCACCAGGAGGAGAGUCUUGAUGAAGGUUUGAUGGGAGAUGUCAUUCUGUAAAUAUGUUUAUUUUAUUUGUUGAUGAAUGAAACACUGUGGCCAAUAGGGCAACAAGAUAGGCAGGUCUCGGAGAUGAGGAGGAUUCUGAUGUGUAGGUAGAGAGCAGUUGCCAUGUAGGAUGCUAGAGGAGUAGCAGGUUCCUGGACCUUUCUCUGGUAAGAUAAGACCACAUAGAAAUACAUAGAUUAGUAGUUAUGGAUUAAUAAUCAAGAUAGAGCUAACCAGUAAGAAGCCCUAGCAUGGGCUAAUAGUAUUAUAAUUAAUAUAAAUCUCUGAGUGUUCAUUUGGGGCUGACAGUGGCUGUGGAUCCAGGCUGGAGGGAAAGGGCUAUCGUAACAAAGGUUGGCUUCUGGGAAUGUCUGUGAGGCAUUGUCAUGACUGUUAACUGAGGUGUGAAGACUCACCCUGGACAUGGACAGCACCAUGUCACGAGCUAGGCUGUGAAGAGUGGAGGAAGCUAGCUAUGCAGCAAGCAAGCAAGGCUGCGUUUGUCUCUCUUCGCUCUUGACCAAGGAUGCACCGUGACCAGCUGCCCCAGCUGCUGCCUUGGUUUCCCUGAAAUGAUGGCCUGUAAAAUUCGAAUUGUAAAUCAAACAAGUCCUUUCACCCCCAAGUUGCUUUUAUCAGGCUGAUUUGUCACAGUGACAGAAGUGAAACUAGAACAGAAACCAACGGGUACCAUGCUGGUCUAGGCCGCCAUGUUCUACAGAAGAGCUCUCCAUCCAUUCACACAGCAUUUCUUUCUCACAAUAUGGCAGGAAGGCAAAACACAAUAGAGGAAGGACAGCCAAAGUACUCAGGCUGAAGAACAAGGGGAUGGCAAGCUUCACACUAAAUUCCAAGCUCCUCUACCAUCUUAGUUAGGGUUUCUUUUCUGUGAAGAGACACCAUAGCCACAGCAACUCUUAUAAAAGAAAAACAUUUAAUUGGGAUGGCAUACAAUGUCAGAGGUUCAGUCCAUCAUCAUGGUGCGAUAUAGGGGCGUGUGGACUGACAUGGUGCUAGAGAGGUAGCUGAGAGUUCUACAUCUUGCACAGGCAACAGGAAGUGGUCCUAGAUACCGGAUGGUCUCUUGAACAUAUAGGAGACCUCAAAGCUCACCCCCACACAGACACACUCCCUCUAACAAGACUAGACCUACUCCAAUAAGGCCACACCUCCUAAUAGUGCCAUUCCCUUUGGUGGCCAUUUUCUUUCAAACACCUACAAAAUAAUCCCAUGCCUUGGUUGGAGGAACUGUGGCCCCAUGGGCACUUGAAACACCAGGUCAAACUGAAAUUCAUUAACUUCUCUCCACAUUUCCCUGUCUGUUUGUGUGAUGCAGCCAUCCAGGCCAAACAUCCAGUAUUAAAGCAAAAAAUGAAGGCCAGGAGUCCAAAGAUGGAUUGUGCAAGAAGACAUCCUGUUGCCAAGUGGGGUGUCUUAACUAACUAGAGUCUAGGCUCUGAGAAAUGAAGUUCCAGCAGAUGACAGGUCAUCCUGUCAUGUACUCACCAUCUCUGAAAGCAGCUUGUUGGCGGGUGUGCUGGUCUUCUCAUGUGGGGCUGGCCAGAGAGAGGGGGAAAUUUGGAGAACAUAUUUGCAAAUGGAAAAACAAUUUCCCUGCCUUAUCUUCUCAUUGGAAACGGUUCUGACAAGCAUGAUAUCUCUUGCUUUGUGGACUAUUUUGCCCAACAUUUACCUUGAGCAAUUUCUUGGCAGUUAUUUUGUUCAUGCAAAGAAAUGCAUCUCUUCACAUUUAAGAGGUACAAAUUGUUUCUCCCACUUUCAAAAGAGAUGUGGUGUUUCUUGAUUUAGAAAGACACUCCCCAGCUGCCAAGCUCUGUCAGAGCCUGCCUUGGCUAACGAGGAAUGUUUCUGGUUUAUUUUUUAUUUCUCCAAAGAAAAAAAAUAAUGAAGCCCUUAAAUUAUUUAAGUGUGUUUCAGUUAGUUUAGAGGCUGAUAGAGGCAGGUGUGUGAACACGUGAGAAGGGAGUUUGGGUUGAGGGCUUGGCCUCAACUACCAGGUGCUGUGGGUGG
ensembl:lncRNA